UCGCCUGUUUAUCAAAAACAUGGUUUCUUGAAUUAUAUAGGAAAUUUAACCUGCCCACUGAAAUAUUUUGAAGGGCCGCAGUAUUUUGACUGUGCAAAGGUAGCAUAAUCAUUAGUCUUUUAAUUAAAGGCUUGUAUGAAUGGUUGGACGAGGUAAAAACUGUUUUAUAAAAAUUUUUAUUGAAUUUAGAUUUUAAGUAAAAAGACUUAAAUGUUAUUAAGGGACGAGAAGACCCUAUAGAGUUUAAUAUUCAUAUUUUUGUUUGAGUUGGAAAUUAAUAUUAAAUCAUUAAGAAGUUUAUUUGAUUGGGGUGAUUAAAAGAUAAAAAAAACUCUUUUUUAUGUUGAAUAAUAUAAAUAAAUAAGAUGAUCCAUGUAUAGUGAUUAUAAGAUUAAAUUACCUUAGGGAUAACAGCAUAAUUCUUUUUAAGAGUUCAAAUCGAAAGAAGAGAUUGUGACCUCGAUGUUGGAUUAAGAUUAAAUUUGGGUGUAGAUGUUCAAAAGUUAAGUCUGUUCGACUUUUAAAAUCUUACAUGAUCUGAGUUCAAACCGGAGA
rnacentral:rRNA from 1 species